UUUUUUUUUUUUUUCUCAGUUGAUUGAAACCUUGAUUGAUGAACAAACUGGUCUUCUUCUGAAACUGCAGGUUGUUCAUGUUGUUAGAGGUAGGAUUCCGGUUUUGCUUGAUGGAGGAGUAAGGUGAGGAACAUAUGUUUUCAAUCGAUAGGCUUCCAUUGGUUCAUGGUGUUCUUGAACUUGUAGGCAUCAGUUACACAGGAGUGACAUCGAGUUACAGCGGUGGAGGCUGGAGAUUAUAUGGCUUGUUUCACUGCUCUUGAUCAUAAACAUGAGGUUGCAUUGAGUAUUGAUUUCGAUAGGAGAACUGGUGUUCAAUCUAAAAGCUGGAGUAGUGUAGCUAAGAAGAGCCAAGUCGAAGUGAGUUUUCAUGCUUUGGAUUUGAUUCAUCAUAUUGUUUGAUCAAGCAUAUUGUAAGAACCCCACUUGAGAGAUACUACCAUUGGACAAUGGAUUUUUUUAAAAAUAAAACACAAGCUCUCAUCUUA